rnacentral:rRNA from 1 species
GACGAACCACACAAACGUUAUUCGGAAUUACUGGGCUUAAAGGGUGCGUAGGCGGCGCGGAAAGUUGGGUGUGAAAUCCCUCGGCUCAACCGAGGAACUGCGCCCAAAACUACCGUGCUCGAGGGAGAUAGAGGUGAGCGGAACUUAGGGUGGAGCGGUGAAAUGCGUUGAUAUCCUAAGGAACACCCGUGGCGAAGGCGGGUCUCUGGACAGUUCCUGACGCUGAGGCACGAAGGUCAGGGGAGCAAACGGG